rnacentral:rRNA from 1 species
UACAGAGGUCUCAAGCGUUGUUCGGAUUCAUUGGGCGUAAAGGGUGCGUAGGUGGCGAGGUUAGUCAGGUGUGAAAUCUCGGGGCUCAACCCCGAAACUGCACUUGAUACUGCCUUGCUAGAGUACUGGAGAGGAGAUUGGAAUUUACGGUGUAGCAGUGAAAUGCGUAGAUAUCGUAAGGAAGACCAGUGGCGAAGGCGAAUCUCUGGACAGUUACUGACGCUGAGGCGCGAAAGCGUGGGGAGCGAACAGG